GUGGGGAAUCUUCCGCAAUGGGCGAAAGCCUGACGGAGCAACGCCGCGUGAGUGAAGAAGGCCUUCGGGUCGUAAAGCUCUGUCUUCAGGGACGAAAAGGCAGGGGAGUAAUAUGCCCUUGUUGUGACGGUACCUGAGGAGGAAGCUCCGGCUAACUACGUGCCAGCAGCCGCGGUAAUACGUAGGGAGCGAGCGUUGUCCGGAAUUACUGGGCGUAAAGGGCGCGUAGGCGGGAAUUUAAGUAAGGUGUGAAAACUCCGGGCUCAACCUGGAGACUGCACUAUAAACUGGAUUUCUGGAGGGCAGGAGAGGAAAGUGGAAUUCCUAGUGUAGCGGUGAAAUGCGUAGAGAUCGGGAGGAACACCAGUGGCGAAGGCGACUUACUGGACUGUAACUGACGCUGAGGCGCGAAAGUGUGGGGAGCAAACAGGAUUAGAUACCCUAGUAGUCC
rnacentral:rRNA from 1 species